UUCCACUGCAGGUUUAUGAACAAACCUUUCCAACCACAGUCUGGCAAGAUGAUCUCACACACGCCCCUUCUCUGGCUGCUGGUUCUCUGGAUUCAGGACUCCUCUGGGCAAACUGUGAUGACUCAGUCUCCAGAAUCUCUGGCAGUGCCAGUGGGAGGGAGAGUCUCUAUCAACUGCAAAGCCAGUACCAGCAUUGGCAAGUACAUAAACUGGUACCAACAGAAACCUGGACAAGCUCCCAAACUUCUCAUCUACAGCGCUAGCACCCUGCAGUCUGGGGUCCCAGCCCGGUUCAGCGGCAGUGGAUCUGGCACUGAUUUCACAUUCACAAUCAGCAGCGUAGAAGCUGAAGAUGCUGGAGAUUAUUAUUGUCAGCAAGGCUAUGGCAUACCUCACACAGUGAUACAGACCAAUACAAAAACUUCUCUGCAGCACGCGUUGCAGUUACAGCUUCCUGCAGACACAACUGUCUAGUUUUCACAUGUUCUGUCACAUGCGACUGAAGAGAGUAACAUUUUCCAUCUGUGAACAUACAUUAAAAGGAGAACACUGAAAGACCAAAAGCGUUUGAAUAAUCACAUAGAUACUAGAAUGUACAUAGAGACCAGAGGUUCACUACAGUUUUCUCUGCUUUAUUCCUAAUCUUGAAUGCCAGUGCAUCAAACACUCUUAUUUGGGUUUCAGUACAAAUUAUUCCGAACAGCUGUUACACCUUCUAUCUUUCAGUAUAGAAUGUUCCGUCAUAUAGCGAACUGACUUAGUUCUAUUAUAGAGAGCUGAUCAGAAACAGGAAUUCUCAUAUUGUGAGAAAUUCCAAGUUGGAGGUGUGAGGGGUAAAAAGAGAGGCUUGUUCUGAAUCAGCAUGAAAACUUG